AUAAACAGUUUUUGUAAAAAAUAGGCUAACGAUUGCGUCAUAACCACUCGGCUCUCUGUCGCAUUACCGUACAGACAAGUGGAGAAGCUCGCAGGCAAUUAACUUAAUAUGGCGUACUGGCGUUACAUUUUAAAAUACUAUACAAAAUAAUUAAUCAGAAUACUUACUCCUGCUCACUCACGACAAAGAACUCCCCGCUCAAGCUCGCCGUCUCUGCAAGAUUAACGAUGGCAGUUUGCACGCACAGCCACUUAGAAGAUUUACAUCUGGCAGACAGGUUGCUGACGUCGUCAAGCUUCGUUUGAGUCUGCGCGUCAGAAACGGAAGUGCUAAAAAACGCUAAAACUGGGAUUCAUUCGUCUCAAUUGAGUUCAAAUGGGGUCGCUGUGUCCAUUUCUUUUACUGUCUAUGGAGAGGACUCGUCUGACAUUUUCUCUGUUUCUCGUCAGUUAUACCAAAGAAAAGGCCAACAACUGCGACAGAUUUGUUAAGUAACACGUUAAUAUCAUCCACAGUCUACUUUAAGUACUUUUUGUUAAUAUUUAUACCUCUGCGAUUAUGGUAUUUUUCCUGAAAUGUCUGCUAUCAAGUAUUACGCUAGCAUAGAAACAUAAUUAACGUUAUAGCAUAUUAGAUUUGAGCCCUUAUUAAUGAAAGUUUGGCCUUUUAAUUACAUCUUAUGCCUAAAGGAUCGGUUUUGAUCGUUUUGUAAAUGUUUUUGAUGGUAAUUUGUCAAUAGAUAAAUGAAAUAAAGUUAAGCUAAUUAAUUUAACCUAAAAAUCUGCAUUGUAGAGUCUAUCAGUGACGUCACUCGUGGUCUAAAAUGGGCUGAAACUAUUUCAAACCACUGUUUCAAGCUUGUUCUGAUUUAUCAUUGUAAACAAAUAUUGAUAAAAAAAAUUGUACAGUGAUUUCAGGAGUGUCUUAAAAACCCUCUAAAACAGAGGAGAAGUUCCAAGAAAAUGUCUAACGGGAGCUGCUGACAGAGAUAGAAAACACAGUUUGUUUAUUUCUAAUAAGGAGCUGGAGGCCGUGAAGAUACAGAUCCAUGAUAUUGUGGAGAAGCAGGCCCAGCUGAGCGAGUGGAGAGCUGUGCUGGAAAUAUUCAGGGGUUGAUGCUCAUAAGUCCAGGGUAAGUAUACAGCUAACCCUACUACCACCUCUACUCUGUGUAGUUCUCUGCAAAGGCCCGGUGUACCCAGGAUGCGAUCUUCCCAGAUGUCCUUCACCCUAUUUCAUAGUGUAAGACAUGAUCCAGGCCCUGGGCGACGACCUCUCUCCAUCCGCCGCCUCCGGUCUUCAGGAUCUCCACCAGAACCCGAUUCGCUCCACUUCGCGAGACAGAACAAAACGCUGUGAUCAUCAGAGACUCCAUCGUCCGGCACGUUUGCGCUAUGUUAGCUGAAGGUAAAGUCCACACUGAAUACUUCCCUGGUGCUCAUGUUCUUGAUAUUUCUGCACAGAUUCCCGUGAUCCUGAAGAGUGAGGUGGGCAUUCAGAGCGGACGGAGACGCUGAAGAGGGACUUCAGGAGCCUGAUCAAGACAGUGCGCAGCAUAUCGCCUGCAUGAUGAUCAUCGUGUCAGGACCACUUCCCACGUAUAGAUGAGGACAUGAAAGGCUUUUUAGAUCUCCUGUUGGACAACAUCUCCAGGACACUUCGCUCCAUAUGACUAGGCAGUUUGUGAAAAGAGAUAAUCAAGAGAAGUCAGUUCCAGAUCCACCCUCCACACCAGACCUCUCUCUCACGAGGAUUGCUGUCUACUAGCAUAUUGUGUUCUUCAGCUUUUCAGACUUCGGUGGAUGCAGAAAUUACUCAGGGACAUGAACACUAGAAUAUUGCAAGAAUAGAGAAAAGGGACUUUGCGGGGGAUUCUUGAAAAUAGAUUAGCUUCACACAGACGUCUUCUAACUGUCACAGUACUUACAGGUAACUCCAGACUGUCUUUGAUCAUCCUGGAGGUGAUCAUUGGCUGAGCCUUUGCCAUUCUGGUUAUUCUUCUAUCCAUUUUGAUGGUUGUCUUCCGUUUUCUUCCACGUCUCUCUGGUUUUGCUCUCCAUUUUAAGGCAUUGGAGAUCAUU